UGGGGAAUAUUGCACAAUGGGCGAAAGCCUGAUGCAGCGACGCCGCGUGCGGGAUGACGGCCUUCGGGUUGUAAACCGCUUUCGGCAGGGAAGAAGCCGCAAGGUGACGGUCCUGCAGAAGAAGCGCCGGCUAACUACGUGCCAGCAGCCGCGGUAAUACGUAGGGCGCAAGCGUUGUCCGGAAUUAUUGGGCGUAAAGAGCUCGUAGGCGGUUCGUCGCGUCUGCUGUGAAAUCUCAGGCUCAACCUGGGGCNUGCAGUGGGUACGGGCGGACUAGAGUGCGGUAGGGUGACUGAAUUCCUGUGNAGCGGUGGAAUGCGCAGAUAUCAGGAGGAACACCGAUGGCGAAGGCAGGUCACUGGGCCGCAACUGACGCUGAGGAGCGAAAGCAUGGGGAGCGAACAGGAUUAGAUAGCCCUGGUAGUCCA
rnacentral:rRNA from 1 species